GGCCGCGGGAUUAGAGUUUGAUCCUGGCUCAGAUUGAACGCUGGCGGCAUGCCUUACACAUGCAAGUCGAACGGCAGCGCGGGGCAACCUGGCGGCGAGUGGCGAACGGGUGAGUAAUAUAUCGGAACGUACCCUAGAGUGGGGGAUAACGUAGCGAAAGUUACGCUAAUACCGCAUACGAUCUACGGAUGAAAGUGGGGGAUCGCAAGACCUCAUGCUCGUGGAGCGGCCGAUAUCUGAUUAGCUAGUUGGUGGGGUAAAGGCCUACCAAGGCAACGAUCAGUAGCUGGUCUGAGAGGACGACCAGCCACACUGGAACUGAGACACGGUCCAGACCCCUACGGGAGGCAGCAGUGGGGAAUUUUGGACAAUGG
rnacentral:rRNA from 1 species